rnacentral:rRNA from 1 species
UGGGGAAUUUUGGACAAUGGGGGCAACCCUGAUCCAGCAAUGCCGCGUGCGGGAAGAAGGCCUUCGGGUUGUAAACCGCUUUUGGCAGGAGCGAAAAGGCUAGCGCUAAUACCGCUGGCUGAUGACGGUACCUGCAGAAUAAGCACCGGCUAACUACGUGCCAGCAGCCGCGGUAAUACGUAGGGUGCAAGCGUUAAUCGGAAUUACUGGGCGUAAAGCGUGCGCAGGUGGUUGCGUAAGAUGGGUGUGAAAUACCUGGGCUCAACCUGGGAAUUGCAUCUAUGACUGCGCGGCUAGAGUGUGGUAGAGGAGGGUAGAAUUCCGCGUGUAGCAGUGAAAUGCGUAGAUAUGCGGAGGAAUACCGAUGGCGAAGGCAACCCUCUGGACCAUAACUGACACU